rnacentral:antisense_RNA from 1 species
AGCGGCUUUGAAUAAAGACUGAAGAACACGAACCCAUGCAAGAGGCACAAAACCAUCUGCUUAGUGGUCAUGUGGCAGCAGACAGUAUCUCAGAAGUCCUCGCAGCAUAUGACUUCACUGAUGAAGAUGGAUCACACUUGAGCAGGGAUUCUUGAUCUCUGCAAAACUGCUCAUACACAACAGGAACAAUCUCACAGAUAAGAAAAACUCCAGAAGUUGGUCUCGGGCUAUGAAAAUUUCUGCCACAAUAUGAUUUAUGUGAAAAUAAAUAAAGUGGGUCUACUACUUUA